UUAUGGGGUUCAAAUUCCAGAUCUGGUUGUCGAAGCCUUUAAACCUUGACUACUAGGCCACAGUGCUUCCAACAUUAUUACUUAGAAAAAUAAAAUUAGAGGAAUAGAUGUUUCAUCCCAUAUUUAACAAGGAAUAACUUUAUUUUUUAUUUCUCUACAAAAACAAAGGAAUAGUAGAGAAUGAACAGUAAAAUUAUUCCUUAUGAAUAGUGAUUUUUUUAAUGGAGGUUAGGGAAUGCAUUAUUUUUCGUCCUUUCUGGGUCACCACCAUUCAUAUCUUUUUUUUUCAGAAGUUGUCGAAAUAUAUUUUUCCAUUAAUGUUUUUGAAAAUUGCACUAAAAUUUAAACUAACACUAAAUUUAAGAUGAAAGGGUGGACAACUAAAAAAACUACCAAAACUAUUUAGCAAAUCAAACAUCUAAUACAUAAAUUUUGAGGAGAAAUUCCUUAUGAUAGCUUUUUUUAAGUUUUUGUCACAAAAAUAGCCCUCAAUGAAGAAAAUGACCAAAAUAAGUUUUAUUAAAAAGUAAAAAUGUGUUUUUAUCCUAGGGUUAACUAAUCGAGACUUAGGGUUUAGAAUUAAGGGGUGGAGUUUUUAGGGAUAGAGUUUCAAAUUUUAAAAAAUAAAAAAUAAAUAUUAAAAUUUCAAAAUUAAAAGGAACUAUUUUGGUCAUUUUCUUUUUUUUAGGUCGAUUUUUUGUGACAAAAGCUUAAAAAGUGAUAUUUGAAAGAAUUGCCUUAAACUGAUAUUAGGACCAAUAUGAGUCAUAAUCUCAGAUGCUCUUAAUGAGGCAAAAAAUAUUCUGGCAUACUCUUACGAAUUCUCACAUACUCUUCAUUUAUCUCAUACUCUUCAAAAACAUGGUUAAUGUCUAAAUUAUCCUUUUCGGCUAAACCAAUCAAAAUCAUUCUUGCUCCUACUCUAUCUUCUUCCUUUCUCUCUCCAUUGUAGAUCCAAACCCAGAUUUUGUUCAAACUCCAUUCAAUUUGACAUUCAUCUUCUCCAUUAAUUCAUUCGUGAAGAAUUAGAAACUUUAAUUUCAAAUUUGUGUUCAUAAUUAACUAAUUGAGAACAAUGAGUCUCGAUCUAUUUGGAUAAUCAAAAACACUGGUAUAAUUAUAAAAAAAAUCGUAUCAGAUUAUUAUUUUGAUUUAAAAAACUAAAAAACGUAGUAAAACUUGAACAAAAUGGUAUAACUAUGUAUAAUUAUGUAUAACUAUAACCGUACAACUUGGUAAAACUAUAAUGUACAACUAAGUGAAACUGUGUAACUAGAUAAAAUGGUACUAACUAAAUUGUAUAACUUGAUAUAACUAUAUUGGUAAAUCUAACUUGGUAAAAUUUUAUGGUUAAGUCGUGAAAGUUCAUCUAACUUGAUGUUAAUCAUUUUGAUUUUUACAUGAGACUACGAGUUCUUUCACAAACAUACACUUUGAUUAUUAAAAAUACUAUUAUAAAGCCGGAGAUGGUCAUGAAUGGAUGAAGGUAGUUUGUAUGCUAGUACAAAGAGGUAAAAUUUGAGUUAUAUUUUAUUGGUAGUAAAACCUAAGAGGCCAUUGAAAAAGCAUAAUGAUAUCUUAAGGUGACUGAGCCAGUGGAAGAUGUUGUUAUUAGAGAUAGAGAUAAUGUAGGUAUUGAUUUGGAUAACGUGGAGACAUGUGAAAAAUUUAGUUGAUUAAGCAUCACACUAUAUCUGUUUUGAAUUUAUUAUUUUGAACUCUGAACUCCGAAUAUUAAGAAUUCUGAUUUAUUUUGAUUAAAGUAUACAUAAAAUGCAUAUUUGCUUUUGAAAAAGUUUAAAUUCAGGAACCAUAAGGAAAUGCACACCAGGAUUAGUUGCAUCUAUUAUUCUAUAUGAUUCUUCAAGACGAUAAAAAAACUAAAUAAAACUUAGUAAAACUGAUAAAAUACAAAAAAAUUGAAGAUACAAAAUUCUAAACUUGUUUGGUUGUUUACAAGCAUUAUGUUUAUUAUUUGUUAGUAUUUUCUGAUUUAAAUUCAAAAUAAUUAUAUUCAAAAUUUUCAUCACAUAGUUGUAUACUAUUCAUAAUAGAAGAAAUACAAUGUUCUUUUAUGCUUUUUUCUUAGUAUUGACCUGGCGACAUUACAAAACCUGUAUACGCCACGAAACUAAUUAUAUUACAACAUGAUUUGAUGGGAAAUGAUUGUAGGAGACUAAAUAUAAAUGGUAUAACUAUAAUAUAAAUCUUUUGAGUACAGUAAAACUAAAAAAAUGUAAAAAAUAGAAAAUUAAAACUUUGAAGCUUUUUGUAAAACUACAAACUUGGUAAACUUCGACCCCAAAAAUGCUGUAAAAAAAUUUCCCGCCCAAAUUUCAGAAUUUUUCCUCCCAAAAUUUUCUUUUUUUCCAGACCUCAAAAACGAAGUUAGUAACUAUAAUUGCUUUAAUUUUUAGGGUUUCUCAUUUCUACUAUCUUCUCAAUCUUCUCAAUCCAUUUUCUCUCAUCCCAUUUCUCAUUUUUUAUCUUUCUUCACAUACUCUGCAAUUUUUAGGUUUUUGCUGUAGUGACGACACGUGUCCACAAGACAGCAAAACUCUGAGUUUCAUUUAAGUUGGUGCGUGAUAUAUGUGGGCUUAUAUUUGUUGUCGGGAUUUAUGUCCUGCUUACUACAACCAGGCCGAUGAAGAGGAAAUUCAUGUGUUUCGAAACGCGUCGUUUAAGAGUUUAGGGUUGUGUCGUCUCCUCCAAUACGAGAUCUACUCACAAACUAUGGUUUCGAGAGCGGUGUUUCAUAUUCUUCUUAACACUCCGAAAAACUUUCAGUUACAGAUUCAUCUUAUUAAUGUCCUUCUUAAAUCCAUCACCCACCUCCGAUCUACUUUCAAUGCGAGCUUCACUCAAGCAAGGCGGUGGAACUGCGACUAUAAAAAGGUAAGCUCUCCGACUCUGAGAACCAUCUCCUUAUUCCGUCCAGGUUAUGACUUUAUCAAAGAUUAUAAAACAAGUGAUAUUUAUUGUUUGGGGGACUUUCUCAUGUGUGAGAUAAACUGUUAGUUCCGUUUCUUUUCCCCUCCUCUCCGAGUUAAUUAGGCCUUUUGCUUCAAUUGGGAUUUUUUGGUUCCUAAUAUGGCGUGAUUGUUAAGAUGUUGGGGACUUUAUUGGUUAUAUAUUGCUUAAAUAUGGUAGAAAAAGAAUUAGAUUCAUUGUUAAUGUCUGACAAUUUUGGUUUUGUUUAUUGAGAUUUUUUUUUUAUUAUAAAUUCGUCUAUUGGCUCUGGAAAUUAUAAUUGGUUGCAGGAAAAAGAAAAGGUUACAGAUAUCAGAACUGGUGCAGCUAAACUUAAAGAAGAUAGCGAAGCCGACUUCCAUGGAGCAGCUACUGUAAGAAACUGCUUACAUUUUUGUUUGUUUUUUCAUGUGAAAGAGGAUAAUUACUAUUGAAAUCAACUUUUUUGGUGAUACCAUUAGAUCUUGCUUAAGUUUUUCCACCAAUCUUACAAAAGAGAAUUGGAUGCCUGAUAGAUGAUGUGUGUGACAUGCUUAUCUAUUAACAUUAUUCAUUUUGGCCAAUUAAGAACAUUGUGAAUGCUAAACUGGCCAAAGAUUUCCAAUCAGUUCUCAAAGAGUUUCAGAAAGCUCAGAGACUUGCAGCUGAAAGAGAAAUUAGAUAUACUCAUGUGGUCACUAAAGAUAUACCUACCAGUUAUAAUGCACAGGAACUGGAUAUUGAAUCUUUAAGGACCUCAUAGGAGCAAGUUCUUCUCCUACAAUAAAAAAGAUGAUAUCAGCUUUAACAUUGAUAACUCACAUGCUGCAACUCAGAAAAGCAUCUAAAACUCAAAGCAAAUUCAUCCUUGACAUGACAUCUUAUUCACCCAAGUAGAGUCGAGGAAACUAUGCAAAUUACCACAUUAAAGAUAUAUAUAUAUAUAUAUAUAAUCAUUGUACAGAUUCUUUGUACUGUAUCUUCCUUAAUCCCUUGCAAUCGAAUUGAAUCUAAGCAUUUAUGUAUUAAACCAUCUUAAUGAAUAUUUAUAGCAAAAUAUACGAACAUGUUAUGGAUAAUGUCGUAUUAGUUAUUUUGCUCGAGUCGGUCAGGAACCAAAGAUUAUCAUAGUGGGUGAUAACUGAACAUGAAAAAGGCUGUUUUAACACAAACAAAAUGUAAGCAAUAACAACACGAAGAAUACAGUCUCUAAAAAAGACUAUUCACAAGUAUAUUUAUAGAUCCAUGAUGAAGGCAAAAGUAUAUCAAUAAAUAUUAUAAUAUUUUAUUAGUUUAUAAUUUCUUUUAAAAAAUAUACUGUAUAUAUACUAAUUAAAUUAUAAAACUAAUUUGCCGUAUAUAUACUAAUUAAAUUAGAAAAUUAAUUUUUAUUAUAUUAUUUGGUGUAUUUUUUUUUGGUGAGCCGAUUCUCCGAAGAGCACUUCCGUCUGUCUGGAUCUGAUCUAUAUUAGAGUAAAUAUAAUCUUUGGUUCUUGCUUCUCUCGCUAGCAAAUCCGUCCGACCAUUCCGACUCUGAAUAAUAUGAAUCAUAUUUACAUACUCAAAGUUUUUCUGAUACAAACAAAUAUUUUGUAUCAUUUAUUAAUAAGUGUUUUUAAUUGAUAUUAUUUAUUUUUUUGAUACUAUUUAUGUGAUAUAAUAUGAUCUUUUUUUUGAAGUGUAUCUUACACAUUUUUCAAAAAUGCAAACCUAAAACAUAAACCACAAAAAAUAAUAACCUACAGUUUCCUUUGCUUUCGUUUUGCUUGAAAGUGGGGUUUAGGGUUUUAUUUAUGGGCUUCUUUCUUAUUUUCUUGUGCUGUUAAAAAAACAACGUACGCCUCUUGCAUUCAUCUUCUUCAAGAAUGGGGAUGUCGACAUCUAGGGUUCAUCGUUCUGCGAUCUCUGUCUAACUCAAGCAACAAUGGUGUCCUCGAGAGGGUUCUUCAUGGUGAAUCUAUGAAUCGAAACCGUUUCGUCUUAGAUUCAUCUCGUACAAACCGUAUGGAAUGCAUUGAUUCAUCGUCAUUAACUACCGUCUUAACUCCUUUGACCCAAUCCAAACAAGAUUCCUCAUUCAAUUCAUCUUCCCUCUUCACAAGGCGGUGGCUCUAUAGCGUUAGCUUUCACGUAAACAUCAUUUUUAGAAAUCCUAAAAAUACUAGAAACUAUUCAUUAUGUACGGACCCCUCGCCAAAUCUUAUUGUUUCUCCCGAUACCCAAAUUCUCUCAAUCAUACGUUAGGUAUGAUUUUGAAAUGUUUUAUCUGGAACAAGGUUUUCACCUCUUUUCAUUUUGAAAACUGUAAACAUUAGAUGAGUCAUUCGAUAUUUUGAUACGCUGAAUAACAUUUAGGGUCGCACUGUUUUACUAAUUACCGAGGAAAUUAAAUCAUAGAUUCUCUGCUUCUGUUGAUUUUAGGAGCUUUAAAAUCGUGAUUAGCAUUUAUUGGUUCUGAAAAUUUCCAGAAUUUGUGAUCUGAUACCUAGAAAAAUCGAUACAUUUAAUUUCACUUUGAUUAUGAGUUGAGAGUGCUGAUUUUUCCAGAUAAACAGUCUGUUUUAUUCUCUGCUGUUUGUUUGGCAUGAACAAUAUUGUUAGCAUAGUGAUUUGAUUAUUGUAAUCAACUUUAUGUUAUCCCAGGAAGAAAAAGAUAGAGAAAGUGGGGGAAGAGUCAUUGGGGGAUGAAUCUGUAAAGAGUAUAUGACAUCAAGUAUAACUAAGAAAACGGAAACGCCUAAAACUGCAAACACGGAUGAAGAGUCGUUAUAGAAUGGUACUUGCUCUCAAGAGGCGAAGCUAAAGGAACCGGAGAAAAUUAUGCAUUGCCUGCGAUUCAACAGUAUGGGGACCAAGCUCUGCUACUACAACUGGUAUGCAAGAAAUGUCAGAGGUAUUGGACAGCUGGUGGAAAGAUGAGGUACGUUCUGGUCGGUGCAGGGAGACACAAGAACAAGAAUCUGGCUUCUCAUAAUAACUGUAAUGUAAGUAUAACAUCUGCAGAAACCGAUCUUCAACAUCCUUACGGCACCAAUCUCCUCCACAUUUUGGCUCUGAUUCAGUCCUCUGCGAAUCAAUGGCAUCAGGGUUGAAUCUUUCUUCAAAUCAAUGCUAGAGACACAAACCAGGUUGCAAGAAUCCUAUAAAGAAUUGCAGAUUACGGUU